rnacentral:misc_RNA from 1 species
GGAAGUAAAAGUGUAACAAGGUCUCCGUAGGUGAACCUGCGGAGGGAUCAUUACAGAGUUCAUGCCCUCCGGGUAGAUCUCCCACCCAUUGCUAUAACUACUCUCGUUGCUUUGGCGGGCCGCUGGGCCCUGCCCGGCCGCCGGCCCCGGCUGGCGCGUGCCCGCCAGAGACCUCACAAACUCUGAAUGUUAGUGUCGUCCGAGUAACUAUACAAUCGUUAAAACUUUCAACAACGGAUCUCUUGGUUCUG